GUGAGUCAUCGAAUCUUUGAACGCACAUUGCGCUCUUUGGUAUUCCGAAGAGCACGCCUGUUUGAGUAUCGAAAAAACCAUCACGACUUGGUCUUGGAGUUCGCUCCGAUCGACUUUGAGAAGUGGAUUUGGAUUGUCCUGCUUUUCGCGAAGCAGGCUGUCUCAAAAGAGAGCGUUGGAAGCUGGAUCUCCUCUUCUGGGAUCGCUGCCCGAAAAUGUUUGAAUUGACAUCCCUUUACGGGGAAGACAUUUUUUUCUUUCUUGCAGUUUAGAGCCUGGUGGAGAACCGGUCGACCGAUU
rnacentral:misc_RNA from 1 species